rnacentral:lncRNA from 1 species
GCACCCCGUUGCAUCCCCGGAGGUUGAGCGCCACGCACCGCCACCCGCGAACAGCGCCCGUGGCCACCGCCCAUUUCGUUGGGCCCUCGUGGGAUCCCCCGUUGAUCCCGUGCAGCAUGAUGAACACGGGGGCGUCGUCGGGGAGGUCGCACGCCGCGGGGAUGUUGUGGGGGACGACCGCGCGGUUCGCGGCCUCCUCGGGGGUGAACGGCGGACGCGCGGGCGGCGUGAACCGCGCCUUCACCAGCCAGUCCAGCCCGACCUGCCCGCCGUCGGCGCACCGCACCAGCUGCCGGUCGUACUCCAGGAAGAUGGUGAACAUCCGCCCGUACCCGAUCAGCGUCUGCGCGUGGGUGUUGGUGCACCACUUCGGCAGCUCGUACUCCCGCUGGAGGCUCGGGCAUCGAGACAGCAACUCGCGGGUCAGGGCCUUGCCGCCGUGCACGACGAAGGGUGCGCACCUGCGCGCAUCCUUCCUCGUGCGACCCAUCGAUCCGUGCCCCGUCGAGCCGCCGUCGACCGGACCGCCUCCACUGCGACCCACGAGUGACCUUCCCGCCUGACCCGAAUCACUUUAUCGUCAAGCCCGAGGGGAGAAAGUGUGCUGUUAACCAAGGAUGUGGAUGGAGGCGAGGGCAUCGCUCGCUCGCGGCGUACACUCUCAUCUCAUUAAAAAAAAUAAAAUACGAAUCGUUUGAUACUCUCUCACUCACAGCCGGGCGCGGCCGUCCUCGCCGAGGGCGCCGAGGGACCCGACGCCGCCCUGCUUCAGCAACGCUGACUUGCCCCCGCCGUUUGGUUUCUGCUUCCACUGAGCUCCGAAAACACUCCGGCUGAUCCGGUCCUUGUUCUGAGGGUUCACGGGGGGCAAAGCCUUGUCCACCGCCCUCGCCGCCGCGCUCCUCGGCGCCAGCGUCGACGCCAGAAACUCCCCCAGCACCCUGUCCGUCCAGCACGGCCCGAAUACACCGACGCCCUUCUCCAAAAAAGCGACGUGCCCGCCCUUCCGAACGUGAGCGAGCGCCACGUGCGAGCUCCCGCGGAUCGCCGCCUCGCACUGCUCGUGCUCGCCCAGGAACGGAUCGUCCAUGGCGAGCAGAUAAAGCGUCGGGGUCCGGAUGCUGGGUAUUAUGCGCUGCGGCGCGUAGUAGUCGUAGUACUCGCCCGCUUCCGAGAAACCGUGCGUCGCGACUAUGAGCUUGUCAAAGUCGGCGAUUGAUCGGAUAGCCUUGUCCUUGAACUCGACGUUCUUGUCCUCGCCUAUGGUGUCCACCUGGUCCUUGUGCUUCUGAUAGUACCGCGACAACUCGGAGCUCAGGGCGCCCUGGUAUAUCAGGCCGGUUGACCUGUUCAUGGCGGAUAACGAGGAGACCGGGUCCAUCGGGCACGAGAUCAAAACCGCGCCCGCGACCGGGUCGAACCCCUUGCUGUUCUCCUCCGCCAGGUAGGUCCCUAUGACGUAGGUUCCGAGGGAAUACCCCGCCAGGAGGAUGGGCGCGGACGGGUACCUGGACUUGCACGCGUUGACGGCCGUGCGCACGUCCUCGGCGUUCGCGGCGCAGUACACCUUCGCGUUGGACAGCGGCACCCCGUUGCAGCCGCGCAUGUUGAGCGCUACGCACCGCCACCCGCGAACAGCGCCCGUGGCCACCGCCCAUUUCGAGGGGCCCUCGUGGGAUCCCCCGUUGAUCCCGUGCAGCAUGAUGAACACGGGGGCGUCGUCGGGGAGGUCGCACGCCGCGGGGAUGUUGUGGGGGACGACCGCGCGGUUCGCGGCCUCCUCGGGGGUGAACGGCGGACGCGCGGGCGGCGUGAACCGCGCCUUCACCAGCCAGUCCAGCCCGACCUGCCCGCCGUCGGCGCACCGCAC